rnacentral:rRNA from 1 species
UACGUAGGUGGCAAGCGUUGUCCGGAUUUAUUGGGUUUAAAGGGUGCGUAGGUGGUCAUGUAAGUCAGUGGUGAAAUACGGCAGCUUAACUGUCGAGGUGCCAUUGAUACUGCAUGACUUGAGUACAGACGAGGUAGGCGGAAUUGACGGUGUAGCGGUGAAAUGCUUAGAUAUCGUCAAGAACACCGAUAGCGAAGGCAGCUUACUAGACUGUAACUGACACUGAGGCACGAAAGUGUGGGGAUCAAAC